rfam:Streptomyces sp. Ncost-T10-10d genome assembly, contig: Ga0115254_1070
CGUGCGCGAGCGCCGAAUUCCGCAAGGGAACCGGGGAACCACCUACAUGGGGUGAAUCGGACACCUGUGUCUCGUGAGAGGCAGAGGCGCCCGUAGGAGACCUUCCUGCUCCGAACCCGUCAGCUAACCCGGUAGGCGAGAAGGAAGGAAAGG